rnacentral:rRNA from 1 species
AAUCGAGCGGACAGAUGGGAGCCUGCUCCCUUUAUGUUAGCGGCGGACGGGUGAGUAACACGUGGGUAACCUGCCUGUAAGACUGGGAUAACUCCGGGAAACCGGGGCUAAUACCGGAUGGUUGUCUGAACCGCAUGGUUCAGACAUAAAAGGUGGCUUCGGCUACCACUUACAGAUGGACCCGCGGCGCAUUAGCUAGUUGGUGAGGUAACGGCUCACCAAGGCGACGAUGCGUAGCCGACCUGANNAGGGUGAUCGGCCACACUGGGACUGAGACACGGCCCAGNACUCCUACGGGAGGCAGCAGUAGGGAAUCUUCCGCAAUGGACGAAAGUCUGACGGAGCAACGCCGCGUGAGUGAUGAAGGUUUUCGGAUCGUAAAGCUCUGUUGUUAGGGAAGAACAAGUGCCGUUCAAAUAGGGCGGCACCUUGACGGUACCUAACCAGAAAGCCACGGCUAACUACGUGC